GUGGGGAAUAUUGGGCAAUGGGCGCAAGCCUGACCCAGCAACGCCGCGUGAAGGAAGAAGGCUUUCGGGUUGUAAACUUCUUUUAAGAGGGAAGAGCAGAAGACUGUACCUCUAGAAUAAGCCACGGCUAACUACGUGCCAGCAGCCGCGGUAAUACGUAGGUGGCAAGCGUUGUCCGGAUUUACUGGGUGUAAAGGGCGUGCAGCCGGGAAUGCAAGUCAGAUGUGAAAUCCAUGGGCUUAACCCAUGAACUGCAUUUGAAACUGUAUUUCUUGAGUACUGGAGAGGCAAUCGGAAUUCCUAGUGUAGCGGUGAAAUGCGUAGAUAUUAGGAGGAACACCAGUGGCGAAGGCGGAUUGCUGGACAGCAACUGACGGUGAGGCGCGAAAGUGUGGGGAGCAAACAGG
rnacentral:rRNA from 1 species